AAACUGUGGUCCCAAGUCUCUGUCCUUCAGGACACAGAUGGAUAAGCGAGGCACAAACCAGACUCCAAGACUAUGAGUCUUGUGUGGAGAAGGUGAGCCACCAGGACCUUCAACCUUGAGGACAUAAGAAGGUAGAUUUAGGAUGAGGGAGAAGAAGUCUUGCCCAAAGAUCAGUUUAUUCCAUCGAAGAAACAAGCAGUCUAUGAGAGGACGUGCUCAGCAGGCUGGAGGGAUGCCUCGUGGUGGCGCCCAUGGUGGGCUUUGAUCCAGUAGACCUCUGACUUGCCCUUUGGCCUCUUCUAGCCCCUGCUCCAACCCUGCCUACACUCUCUGCGAAGGGAACACAUCACUAGUCCCCCAGGGCCUGACAGACACACAGCUGAUGAUCACAGAUGAAGCUGUUUCCAGCUUGUUUGUCCCCUCAGCAUUGACUGGCCCGUGACAUAUACCUCAUCAUAGAGCCACAUGUGCCAGUCCUUCCCACAGAUCAUGGUGCCUUUAUACUCCCUGCAUCUGAUUGGAACUCUGACUGAUGUCCUGAGUAUUGACACAUGCCAGGGAAGUGUUCUCCCCAGAAGUUGGCCUGUCCUUGCUAACGCUCCAUUUCCAUUGACUUGGGAGGCUAGCACAUCCAUGCUUCCCACUCAGAAAACACUGUGAAGAUUCCUCUAGUGCAGGCUCUCCAUCCUAUU
rnacentral:lncRNA from 1 species